AGAUUGAACGCUGGCGGCAUGCCUUACACAUGCAAGUCGAACGGCAGCACGGGAGCAAUCCUGGUGGCGAGUGGCGAACGGGUGAGUAAUACAUCGGAACGUGCCCAAUCGUGGGGGAUAACGCAGCGAAAGCUGUGCUAAUACCGCAUAAGAUCUACGGAUGAAAGCAGGGGAUCGCAAGACCUUGCGCGAAUGGAGCGGCCGAUGGCAGAUUAGGUAGUUGGUGAGGUAAAGGCUCACCAAGCCUUCGAUCUGUAGCUGGUCUGAGAGGACGACCAGCCACACUGGGACUGAGACACGGCCCAGACUCCGUACGGGAGGCAGCAGGUGGGGAAUUUUGGACAAGUGGGACGAAAGCCUGACUCCAGCCAUGCCGCGUGCAGGAUGAAGGCCUUCGGUUAGUAAACGUGUCUUUUAGGUAACGGUAACGAAAACGUUACUUCUUUAC
rnacentral:rRNA from 1 species